CGCAUCUUGCGCUCCUUGGUAUUCCGAGGAGCAUGCCUGUUUGAGUGUCAUGGUAUUCUCAAUCCAUUCUGGGUUUUUGAAAAGAAACUUGUUUGGAAUUGGAAUUGGAGGUUUUCUGUUGGUUAUAAUUUAUUGAUCAACUCCUCUGAAAUACAUUAGCAAGAAUGAAGUGCAUCUUCAGUGUGAUAAUUAUCUGCAUUGUGGAAUUGUGCUUAAAAUUCUAGCUUCUAAAGGUCUAUUCAUUUAGACAUUCAUUAUGACAUCUGACCUCAAAUCAGGUAGGAUUACCCGCUGAACUUAA
rnacentral:misc_RNA from 1 species